GUAGGUGAACCUGCGGAAGGAUCAUUAAUGCAAAAUGGAGUGUAAUCUUUUCUGUCAACUUGGCGCGGGCAUUGUUCCGCCUGGAUUUGCAUAAAAGGCCACACGCUAUCUUAACCUCCCAAACGCUCGACUUUUUUGUUUUAUCAAAAAAGCUCGACGUCACAAGUAACCUGAGACGUUUUUCUUUUCUGUUGAAGACGAGAAAAAUGUUCUCUACUUUUUUACACCAUAAUUACCCUAUUUCUAUAAACUAUUAGACUGAUAUAAAAACAUUUACCUUGAUAAAUGUUAAAAAACAAAUUAUUGAACAACUCUUAGCAAUGGAUAUCUAGGCUCUC
rnacentral:misc_RNA from 1 species